rnacentral:rRNA from 1 species
CCCUUAGAUGUUCUGGGCCGCACGCGCGCUACACUGAUGCAUUCAACGAGUCUAAAACCUGCUCUGAUAGGGGUGGGUAAUCUUUUGAAUGUGCAUCGUGAUUGGGAUAGAUGUUUGCAAUUUUUCAUCUUCAACGAGGAAUGCCUAGUAAACGCAAGUCAUCAGCUUGCAUUGAUUACGUCCCUGCCCUUUGUACACACCGCCCGUCGCUCCUACCGAUUGAAUGAUCCGAUGAAUAUCAUGGAUUGAGGAUUAUAGCAGGUUCGCCUGUCUUGAUCUUCGAGAAGUGAAGUAAAUCUUAUCAUUUAGAGGAAGGAGAAGUCGUAACA